rnacentral:lncRNA from 1 species
CAGAGAGCGCGGAGAGACGCAGAACGCAGCCAGCUCCUCCAGGGCCCUCCAGGCCCUCCGGACCCGGGCCGGCGGGUGAACUGGGGGGCCCCGGGACAGGCCGAGGCCUCUGCCCUGCAGAUACCGGAGGCCUCUGCUGUGGCUGCCCACUGGCUGUGCCCAGGCCUUGAAGCCGCAGCGAACCUCUCUUUCCCACCCCACCUGGAUGACUGAUGGCGGCGGCUGCGUCUCCCCGACGGGACCCCGCCGGCCGCCGCGUCUCCCGACCCAAGCCUGCCGGGCCUCGACGAAACCCCCGCAGAGUCGCUGGGACGCAGCGCCUUUGGGCGGCGCCGGGCGUGGUGGGCCGGAAAGUAUGGCGGCCGCUUGAACGCCGCGCGGCGGAGGCCAUUAAGGCGUGGAGGGCCCGGGAAGGCGGCCUAGGGACGCAAGCAGGCUCGGCCACCUCUUUAGGCCACGGAGCCGCGCAGAUCCGGUUCCCGGGUGACCACUCUGUCGCCAUUGGGCGAGACCGACCUAGUCCUGACGACAACGGACAAAGGCCUUCAGGGGCCUGGAAGAAACUCUUCAGCAGAUGGCAAUUUUCCACCUUCCUGUAUAAAACCAGAAUCCUCUCACCUGGCAGAAAUCUUUCUCUCCAGAUGCUGCAAAGCCAGCACAGAUCAUCUUCUCUGUGAUCCCUCCUGGAUGGGCAGAAUAAAAGAAGAGGGGCUGAAGCGGAUGCUGCUUGAUAUCAUUUACAUGACCUAUUUUCAAAAAUAACAACUGGCAUUAAUGUUUAUGCAACAAAAAUAUGCUUACCUGCACUGAUGCUUCCCCAUCCGGUCACAGCACAGAUCUCCGAGGAAAAUAGAGGCUCUGCGCUGUGUGGGAGACAUACUGGCCUCACCACCGAGUUGUACUCCAGAGGAGAGCUUAGUUGUAUUAGGGCAAUGUCAGAGUCAUAACUUAGUGUGUUAAAGUCUUCAUGCACUAUUAUGUGUUUGGCCCUUCUCACCUGUAUCGGUGGCAAGUAAGCAAAUUACAACGUAAGAAAGUCAAAGAAUCCAGCAACUUCCUUGUUGAUGGUCCAAAAUAAUCCUAAAUUUCUGCACUUACAUACAUAAACAAUGCAGAAGACUUUCUAUUAAAUUUAAAAGAGCAAUAUUGGUUUACAAUUUGCAGGGGGCUAUGAACCACCUUCUGGAUAAAGGUGGUGCUGGAGAAAUAAAGCUUUGAAAACCUGAAAAAAA